rnacentral:misc_RNA from 1 species
UCCGGCUUGUCACCGGCAGUUCCUUCAGAGUGCCCAACUGAAUGAUGGCGACUGAAAGCGAGGGUUGCGCUCGUUGCGGGACUUAACCCAACAUCUCACGACACGAGCUGACGACAGCCAUGCAGCACCUGUGUGGUAGCCAGCCGAACUGAAGGACCCCGUCUCCGGAGCCCAUACUACCCAUGUCAAGGCCUGGUAAGGUUCUGCGCGUUGCAUCGAAUUAAACCACAUGCUCCGCCGCUUGUGCGGGGACCCGUCAAUUCCUUUGAGUUUUAGCCUUGCGGCAGUACUCCCCAGGCGGGGCACUUAAUGCGUUAGCUUCGGCACGGCAACCGUUGAUCGGGUCGCCACACCUAGUGCCCAACGUUUACAGCGUGGACUAC